rnacentral:rRNA from 1 species
UACGUAGGGCGCAAGCGUAUCCGGAAUUAUUGGGCGUAAAGAGCUCGUAGGCGGUUUGUCGCGUCUGCCGUGAAAGUCCGGGGCUCAACUCCGGAUCUGCAGUGGGUACGGGCAGACCGGAGUGUGGUAGGGGAGACUGGAAUCCUGGUGUAGCGGUGGAAUGCGCAGAUAUCAGGAGGAACACCGAUGGCGAAGGCAGGUCUCUGGGCCACUACUGACGUGAGAAGCGAAAGGCAUGGGGAGCGAACAGG